CAUGUGCCACAAAGUGUCACAGUCAUCUCCUUUUUCCUGCAGCAACCAUCAGCAAUCCCCACUGCCAGAGCCAAAUGCCUGGGAAGACGGAGACAGGGAGGACAUUUGGAGUGAUGGAUUUUGACUUCCCAGAGAGGUCAGGCAGAAGUCUGGAUUUAAAGACUGUCACCAGCACAGGAAACAUCAAUUUGAGAGGAAAUAUGUGAGCUAAUAUCUACAAAUAAUUUGGUUUGUUACCAGGUGCAGACAACGUGACUCCUGAAACAGACAAGGGUCUGCACAAGCCUGAACUUUGAGGGGAAAUGCCAGGUUCAAGGAAGAAUAUGGGGUAGGCAGGUCAGGAAGGCUGUGCCUUCUCAGUACCUUGGCCAAUGGGGAAAGGAAGAGGGCAGCAUGCAGCCAGGAGUUUAGGAUAAAAGGAGGCUGCACCCUUGGAAACCUCAAGAGAGAAAACCCUGCAGGCAUGUGCCCCAGUGAAAUCUCUCCCUUUAUGCAAAUAAAGUUGAAGGACUCCUCUGUGUCAUUUUUGGACAUAAAUCUCUGGCGUUUGUGGGUUUUCCUGGCAGUGACAACAUGGAAUCUCAUGGAAGCAAGUGUCCAGAGUUUCAUGGCACAGACUCACAGAGUGCUGGAGACCAUUAUCACAAUGGGAACACAUGGAACAAAGGCUCCAGAGGAACACAGCAGGGUCUCAUGGAAAGCAAGAGAGCAUCCUGAUGGAAUGGAAACUCAUGGAACCAAGUGUCCACUGUUUUACAGCAGGGCCUCAUGGAAUGCUGGAGACCAUUGUAGCACAACUGGGCCUCAUGGAACUAAGAAGAUUGCUGUGGUACAAUGGAAUCUCAAGGAAACAAGGGUCAGUUGUUAACCCCAGGCUCUGCUUUGACCACCUGGGGCGUCAUGGGACACAGGUGCCACUGGGACAUUGCCAGGUCUAGUAGAAACAAGACUCCAUUCUUGCACAGCAAGGCCUCAUGACACCCAGGACAGCAGUGUGACACAAUGACAUCUUGGGGAACCACGUGUCAACUGCAAACACAACGGGGCCUCAUGGAAGCCAGGUGCCACUUGGAUAGUGCCAGGGCAGGUGGAAAUCAGUGUCCAUCGUGACACAGCACAGCACCUUGGAACUCAACAAACCAUUGGGACAACAUGAAAUCUCAUGCAUCCAAGGCUCUACUUUGGCAAAGUGGGGCCCAUAGGACACAGGUGCCACCAGGACAUUGCCAGCUCUUGUGGAACCCAGUGUCCAUUGUGAGAGAGUGCAGCCUCAAGGAAAUGUGGACCACUGUGACGCAAUGGAGUCUCAUGGAAGCAAGUGUCAAUUGUGAAUGCAGCAUGGCCUCAUUGAACCCAGGGGCAACUGGGACCAUGCUGUGGCUCAUAGAAGCAAGGGGCCAUGUGACACAGCGGGGCUUCUUGGAACCCAGGAGAACAUUGUGGGCCCAUGGAUUCUCAUAGAAGCAAAGUGCGACAUCACAAUGGUCUCCUGGCUUUCGUGAGACCCCUCUUCAUAACAAUUCAGACUUGUUUCUGUGAGAUUCUAUUGUGCCACAAUUCUCUCCUGGCUUCAAUAAGGCUGUGCUGUGUUUACAAUUGAUACUUGGCUCCCCAGGAUUCCAUGGCGUCACUCUGCUCUCUUGUGAUUUGAGGCUGUGCUGUGUUACAAUGGACGCUUGCUUCCACCAAGGCUGGAGAUGUCCCAGUGGCACCAGGCUUCCAUGAGACCCUGCCGUGUCACAAUGGACCCUUGGUUCCCUGAGAUUCCAUUGUGGCACAGUGCUUUCCUAGAUCCUAUGAGGCCCUGCUGUGCAAUAAUGGAGACUUGUUUCUCCUAGGCCUGGAAAUAUUUCUGUGCCCCUUAUGUUCCAUGCGUCCCUCUCUGUCAAAAUUUACCCUUGGCUCCAUUGCGUAACAAUGGUUCCCAUGUUUCUAUGAUCUUCCCUGUGUCUCAAGGGACACUUGAUUCCAUAAGAGCUGGCAAUGUUCCAGGAGCACCUGUCUUGUAUUUGGCCCUUUUGUCAAAAUAAUGGUUCCAUGAGAUUUCACUUUGUCACAAUGUUUUCCUUGGUUUCCUUAGAAGCUGUUAUGUUCACAAUUGACCCUUGGUUCUUUGAGACUUGAUUACAUUACAGUGGUGUCCUUGGUUUCAUAAAAUCCACAUUUGUCACAAUGGAGCCUUGGUUUCAGGAUAUUCCAUUGCAACACAAUGGUCUCACCACUUUAUGAGGUUGCUCUGUGAAACAGUGGACACUUGGUUCCAUGAGAUUGUUGGGUAAAAGUGUUCCAUUAGGCCAGCCUCUGUCACUAUGGACACUUGCUUGCACAAGCCUUGGAAAUGUCCCAUCAGCACCUGGGCUCCAUCAGGCCCUGCUGUGUUGACAAUUUACCUGUUGUUCCAGGACAUUCCAUUGCCUCACAAUGGUCUGCUUGGUGCCAUGAGGCCCUUCUGUGUCACAACAGAGCCUUGGUUCCGUGAGUUUCCAUUGGGUCACAGCGGUCUCCUGUGUUCCAUUAGGCCUAGCUCUGUCACUGUGGACACUUGAUUCCAUGGGCAGUGGCAAUGUUUACAGUGGCACCCCACAGUCUUACAAGUGACAGUUUGUUCCAUGACAUUCCAUGGAGGCACAACAGUCACUUGGGUUCCAUGCAGGUGCCCGGGGAGAAGGAGCUCAGCCCAAAUAUCCUAGGGGUUCCUGGGCUGGUGUUUUCUGGGGAGAAAUCUUUGGAUCUUGCAGGACUCCAAAGCUGAGCCACGGAUGCCUCUUGGGAUGUAGUGGAGCAUUGUGAAAGCCAAGAGACCUUCGUGGAGCCAAGGCUGUAGUGGGUCACAGAGGGACCUCCUGGAAGCCAGGAGACCCUCAUGGAGCCAAGGCUGCAGUGUGUCAGAGAGGAACCUUGUGGAAGCCAGGAGGGCAGUGUGAGGCUAUGGAACAAUAUGGCACCAAGGUUUCACUGGGACUUGACAGAACCUCACGGAAGCAAGGAAGCAUUGUGAGCCUCCAGAAUCAGCGUCUGCAGGAGGAUUUUCUGCUCCCUCCUGGGAUUUUGGUGGACAAUAAAGCCUGAGACAGUCUCCCAAGGUGUCCAGCCGUAUCAUCAGUGGGGGCAAAAUCUGGAGGGAUGCCCUGUCAACCCUGCUGCUCCUCCUGGCUGGGCGUGGAGCUGCUGGGACACCGGGGUGGCAGGGAAUCCUUAGUGGUGUGCAAGGAAAGGUUCACCACAAGCAGCACUGGAACAAGAUGUGCAGGUAAAACAAGCGAGAUAGCAGAGAAAGCAAGAUAGCAAAGCAAGUGACUUAACAAAUGCCAUCAAGAGCAAGAUAGCAAGUUUUUACGGAACUUGCAAACCACAAAACCAGCUAAAACCAGGUUAGACUGAAGAAGCACUAGGCAUGGGCUGAUGAUACAGGUAAAAAGUUCAAAUGUGAGGAGGACUACAGAAACCUUCAUCAAAGGACCACCGGAAGAAAAGAAGAUGCAUGCACUGAAGCAGCAAAUGGUUGUAAAACCAUCACACAGCUUUAUGCAAAUGACAGACAUCAGGACCCUGAGGACCCCGAUUGGAAUUCUGGCCUGCCGGUGGUGGAUGAAUGCCAAAAAUCCUGAAGCCCCUGAGUAGAAUUCUGGCCUACCAAGUGAUUAUUCACAGCUGUCUAAAGUGACUUCUAGCACGGCCUGGUAAGGGGGGCGAUGUGCCCUAUAUGCUUGCACCUGCUUCACAACAAUAGCCCAGGAAUUGUCCCACCUCUUAGCCAGAUGAACUUGCUGGGGCAACUUUGGUAGCCCCCCAUGGAAAAUCCUUCAUCUGCUCCACUACCACCAUGAUGGACGGAGAUUGAAGCCCCCUCCCAAGGACUGAGACUGAGAUCCCUGUAAUCAUGACACAGGGGUGCUGGCCUGACUGAAGUGGGAUGCCUGCUAAGUGUUGCCUGCAGAUGUGUUCACUGGACCUAGACUGGUUUCCCAUAGAAACCAGUCCUGAAACAACGGAUCCCACUCACUGCUGAUAGUGACUUACCCUGCUGAGAACACGGACUUUCCAGACCUA